GUUUGUUGUCGGUGGAAGGCUGGUUAAACCGUUUGGUUUUCGACCACUACGACCCGGGUUCGAUUCCCGCAUUGGACA